UUUAAAGAAAACAGCAUGCGCGGACAAAAACCGUUUGAUAUUUGAAAAUGACGGAUGCGAGGUAAUGUGCACUUUUCUACCUUGGGGAACCUAUGGCUGUUUAGAUGAAGAGAACAGAACAGAAUGGUUUUACUGUAGAAAUGGACACUCUUUGUGGGAUUCCUCACCCGGAGCGUGUGAUAAAAGACGAGCUGAUACCGACCUUUGUACAAAGUGAAGAUUGUUAACUGUUGAUUAUCAUUUUUCAAUUAUCUCUCUUAUAUAUAUAUAUAUAUAUAUAUAUAUAUACAUGUAUAUUAAGAAUAAAUCAUUUUUAUUUACA